CGCUCGCUCUGGUGCCGGUCGGAAUUUAUACUUGCGCACGAGCGACGGAGCGCACUUCUCUCCGAGUAGGACGCCGCGACCCGUUGACGUUAAGCGCAGGUCUACGGCCCGGGUGCGAAGUCCGCAGUUUUGAACGGUUUCGGCCGUUUUUUUCCGCGGAGCCCUGGUGUCCCGAUU
rnacentral:rRNA from 1 species